UACGUAGGGGGCUAGCGUUGUCCGGAUUUAUUGGGCGUAAAGAGCGUGUAGGCGGCCAGGUAGGUCGGUUGUGAAAACUGGAGGCUCAACCUUCAGACGUCGAUCGAAACCAUCUGGCUAGAGUCCGGGAGAGGAGAGUGGAAUUCCUGGUGUAGCGGUGAAAUGCGCAGAUAUCAGGAAGAACACCCGUGGCGAAAGCGGCUCUCUGGAACGGUACUGACGCUGAGACGCGAAAGCGUGGGGAGCGAACAGG
rnacentral:rRNA from 1 species